CCAGCGUCCUCCCUCUUUACAUGGUCCUAAGGUGGAGGCACUUACGUCUGAGUGAAUGGUUAUAUUGAGGUGACUAAAGUUAGAAGAAGAUAUGCUCUGGAAUUGUGGGGAAGGCAAUGGUUUGCUGUGAUUGUGUUUGCUUAAUCUGGAUUCUUAUCAUCCACAGUUUUUAUUCAUCUUUCCUGCAAUGUACAGAGGCCAGAAAUUGCUCUCUGGAUCUUAUAAUCCUUUUCCUUUUGACAUCAAAAUAACAUCAUUGACGUGGACAGGGACAAGGAAUGAAAGUGACCCAGAUAAUGAAAUAAAAAUUUUCCUAUAUCAUUCUUGCUUUUGUUUAAUUCUGAUGGAUUAUGCCCCAAUUUAAUGAUUUGGGAUUGGAGAAGGACACAUUGGAAUUUUUCUACAAUUUGGAGUUGGAGGGUCCCUGGUAAGAUUCCAAGCUUUUACAUCCAUUCUUGUUUGCUUAUUAACAUUUGAUUUGAAAAUUUAGUUAAAUUGGUUGUAAUGUCAUUUGUGGAUAUGAAAUCAUGGGCGGCU
rnacentral:misc_RNA from 1 species